rnacentral:lncRNA from 1 species
GUCAGGUCUGUGGAUGGGGUGAGGUCACCAGGAUGAGGUCACAAAGGCAUUGAUGCCCCUUUGUCCUAUCAUGUGACCACUUGUCACACUUCCAUCAAACAGUACCUGCCCCUUAGGUGUGCUAGGGAAUAAAUGAAAUGCCUGGGACAUCAUCGUUAAGUGGCAUCUGAUGCAUAAGCAGUGCCCUAGGAAUGGGGUUGCCUGCCUUGGUCUCUAAAGGAUGGGUUCAAAAGGCAAGAGCAGCACACAAGAAGAUAGCUUCAAGCAGGAGAUAAAGCUUGGCCCAGGGCCCAAAGGGGAUACGACCCUUCAGCAAACUGACAUGCUGAAAGCUGCCCUAUGGAGAGGCUCAUGUGGCAAGGAACAGAGGGUGGCUUCUGGCCAACACCCAGUGAGGAACUCAGGCCCUCAGUCAAACAGCCUGCAAGGAACUGAACCCUGCCAAUAACCCUGGGUUGAAAGCUUCCCUUUGGAGAAGAACUGAGGGCUGUCUCUGGUCAAUAGCACUGAGGAACUGAAUCCAGCAAACAAUUAUGUGAAGAAACUUGGAAGCUUGUCCUCCCCUCUAGUUGAGCUUUGAGAUGACUGCCGCCCUAGUGGACACCUUGAUUGAAGCCUUAUGAGAAACCCUAAGCCAGAGAACCCAAUUAAGCUACGCUUACAUUCCUAACACAGAGAAAAUAUGAGCUAAUAAAUGUUGUUUCAAAC